UUAUUAUUUAAUUAUUUUUUUUUGUUGUUUAUUAUUUUUUAUAAUUCAAUUUUUUUUUAUUGUUUUGUGCUUAGUAUUUUAGAAAUGCUUAAUUUGGUUAUAGUAUAUUUUUAAUGUAGGUGGUUUUUAUUUUUAUUUUGUAAGAAUUUUUUGUUUAUUUUACCUUUUGUAUCAGGGUUGAUCUAAUAAUUUAUUUCUAUUGAUUUUUCUCGAAUUAAGGAGAUUUAACUUGAUAUGAUUUUUUAUGUUGCAUAAUGAUCUUAAAUAUUAAGUUGGUAGUGAAAUUCUAUUCGUUCUUUAAUAUAUCUAGUUUUCUGAGAUUAAAUUUAAUUUUAAUGGAUUUUUGAAUUUGAUUCUUUUUUAUCAAAUUUUUAAUUUCUUUGUAUUUUUUAGGGGUUAAGCUCUAGAUUGUUUCUUAUAAUUUAUUUUUUUUGUUGUUAUAAAUUCUUAGGCUUGAAACCAGUCAUUGAUUAAAUUGCGUUUUAUUUUAUUUUAUUUAUUAAUUAUUUAUUAUUUUAUUUAAGUUCUUUAUUGGAAUUUGAGUUUUAAUUUUUUUUUGUUUAGUAAUAAUGUUUGAAUUAGUAUAUUUUUUUUUGUUAUGAAUAUUUAUUUAUGCUAUUUUAUUUAAAGGAACUCGGCAAUUAUUUAGUUUUUCCGCCUGUUUAUCAAAAACAUCUCCAUUAGAUCUUAUGUUAAUGGUAGGCCCUGCUCACUGAAAUUUAAAGAGCCGCGGUAUUUUGACUGUGCAAAGGUAGCAUAAUAAUUAGUGUAUUAAUUGUGCACUGGAAUGAAAGGGUUGACGAGAAAGGCUCUGUCUCUAUUUGAUUCAUAUAAUUUUACUUUCUAGUGAAAAGGCUGGAAUUUUUUUUUAGGACGAUAAGACCCUAUAGAGUUUAAUAUUUAUUUAUUUUAUAUAAUUUGUUUAAUUUCUUUUAUAUUUUAUUUAUGAUGUUUUGUUGGGGUGAUGUGAAUAAUUAAUAAACUAUUCAUUAUUUUUUUUUCAUUGAUUUAUGAUAUUUUUGAUCCUUUAUUAUGGAUAUAAAGAUAAAAUUACCUUAGGGAUAACAGCGCAAUUAUUUUUGAGAGUUCUUAUUGAUAAAAUAGAUUGUGACCUCGAUGUUGGAUUAAGAUUAUUAUUUGGGUGUAGGUGCUCAUAUUAUUGGUCUGUUCGACCAUUAAAAUCUUACAUGAUCUGAGUUCAGACCGGCGUGAGCCAGGUUGGUUUCUAUCCAAAAUUUUUUUAUAUUUUCUAGUACGAAAGGACCGUUAAUUUUAAUUAUUUUAUUAUUUUUGUCUAUUAUU
rnacentral:rRNA from 1 species